UUGGAGGGCAAGUCUGGUGCCAGCAGCCGCGGUAAUUCCAGCUCCAAUAGCGUAUAUUAAAGUUGUUGCAGUUAAAAGCUCGUAGUUGAAUUUCGGGAUUAGUACGUCGGUCGUGCCUUAGGUACGUACUGGUGUUACUGGUUCCUACCUUCUGACGAGCCAUCAUGUCAUUAAUUUGGUGUGGUGGGGAAUCAGGACUGUUACUUUGAAAAAAUUAGAGUGUUUAAAGCAGGCUCGCGCUUGAAUACAUUAGCAUGGAAUAAUGAAAUAGGACGCUGAUCCUAUUUUGUUGGUUUCUAGGAUUGACGUAAUGAUUAAUAGGGAUAGUUGGGGGCAUUAGUAUUCAAUUGUCAGAGGUGAAAUUCUUGGAUUUAUUGAAGACUAACUACUGCGAAAGCAUUUGCCAAGGAUGUUUUCAUUAAUCAAGAACGAAAGUUAGGGGAUCGAAGACGAUCAGAUACCGUCGUAGUCUUAACCAUAAACUAUGCCGACUAGGGAUCGGAUGAUGUUAUUUUUAAUGACUCGUUCGGCGCCUUACGGGAAAC
rnacentral:rRNA from 1 species